rnacentral:tRNA from 1 species
GGGGUUGUAGCUCAGUGGUAGAGCUCCUGCCUUGAAUCCAUGAGGCCCUGGGUUCAAUCCUCAGCACCA